rnacentral:rRNA from 1 species
UACAGAGGGUGCAAGCGUUGUUCGGAAUUAUUGGGCGUAAAGCGCGUGUAGGCGGCAUGGCAAGUCGGGUGUGAAAGCCCUCAGCUCAACUGAGGAAGUGCGCCCGAAACUGCUUUGCUUGAGUGCUGGAGAGGGUCGCGGAAUUCCCCAAGUAGAGGUGAAAUUCGUAGAUAUGGGGAGGAACACCGGUGGCGAAGGCGGCGACCUGGACGAGUAACUGACGCUGAGACGCGAAAGCGUGGGUAGCAAACAGG